rnacentral:rRNA from 1 species
GACGAACGCUGGCGGCGUGCCUAAUACAUGCAAGUAGAACGCUGAAGGAGGAGCUUGCUUCUCUGGAUGAGUUGCGAACGGGUGAGUAACGCGUAGGUAACCUGCCUGGUAGCGGGGGAUAACUAUUGGAAACGAUAGCUAAUACCGCAUAAUAGUAGAUGUUGCAUGACAUUUGCUUAAAAGGUGCAAUUGCAUCACUACCAGAUGCACCUGCGUUGUAUUAGCUAGUUGGUGGGGUAACGGCUCAACAAGGGGACGGUACAUAGCCGAGCUGAGAGGGUGAUCGGCCAAACUGGGAAUGAGACACGGCCCAGAAUUCCAAGGGAGGCAGCAGUAGGGAAUCUUCGGAAAUGGAGGGAAGUCUGGACGAGCAAAGCCGGGGGAGUGAAGGAGGUUCUCGGGUUGUAAAGCUCUGUUGUAAGAGAAGAAAGAGUGGGAGAGUGGAAAGUUCACGUUGUGACGGUAUCUUACCAGAAAGCGACGGCUAACUACGUG